rnacentral:rRNA from 1 species
GACGAACGCUGGCGGCGUGCUUAACACAUGCAAGUCGAACGGUAAGGCCCUUCGGGGUACACGAGUGGCGAACGGGUGAGUAACACGUGGGUGAUCUGCCCUGCACUUCGGGAUAAGCCUGGGAAACUGGGUCUAAUACCGGAUAGGACCACUGCCUGCAUGGGUGGUGGUGGAAAGCUUUUGCGGUGUGGAUGGGCCCGCGGCCCAUCAGCUUGUUGGUGGGGUGAUGGCCUACCAAGGCGACGACGGGUAGCCGGACUGAGAGGGUGACCGGCCACAAUGUGACUGAGAUACGGCCCAGACUCCUACGGACGGCAGCAGGGGGGAAUAUUGCACAAUGGGCGCAAGCCUGAUGCAGCGACGCCGCGUGAGGGAUGUCGGCCUUCGGGUUGUAAACCUCUUUCAGCACCGACGAAGCGCAAGUGACGGUAGGUGCAGAAGAAGGACCGGCCAACUACGUGCCAGCCGCCGCCGUAA